UACGAAGGGGGGCUAGCGUUGCUCGGAAUCACUGGGCGUAAAGCGCACGUAGGCGGCUUACUAAGUCAGGGGUGAAAUCCUGGAGCUCAACUCCAGAACUGCCUUUGAUACUGGUGAGCUUGAGUCCGGGAGAGGUGAGUGGAACUGCGAGUGUAGAGGUGAAAUUCGUAGAUAUUCGCAAGAACACCAGUGGCGAAGGCGGCUCACUGGCCCGGUACUGACGCUGAGGUGCGAAAGCGUGGGGAGCAAACAGG
rnacentral:rRNA from 1 species